rnacentral:rRNA from 1 species
AGUGGCGGACGGGUGAGUAACGCGUGAGAAUCUGCCUUGGGGUCGGGGACAACCACUGGAAACGGUGGCUAAUACCGGAUAAGCCGAUUGGUGAAAGAUUUAUUGCCCGAAGAGGAGCUCGCGUCUGAUUAGCUAGUUGGUGAGGUAAGAGCUCACCAAGGCAGCGAUCAGUAGCUGGUCUGAGAGGACGAUCAGCCACACUGGGACUGAGACACGGCCCAGACUCCUACGGGAGGCAGCAGUGGGGAAUUUUCCGCAAUGGGCGAAAGCCUGACGGAGCAAGACCGCGUGAGGGAGGAAGGCUCUUGGGUUGUAAACCUCUUUUCUCAGGGAAGAAGCUCUGACGGUACCUGAGGAAUCAGCCUCGGCUAACUCCGUGCCAGCAGCCGCGGUAAUACGGAGGAGGCAAGCGUUAUCCGGAAUUAUUGGGCGUAAAGCGUCCGCAGGUGGCGAUUCAAGUCUGCUGUCAAAGCACGGGGCUUAACUCCGUAAAAGCAGUGGAAACUGAAUAGCUAGAGUGCCGUAGGGGUAGAGGGAAUUCCCGGUGUAGCGGUGAAAUGCGUAGAGAUCGGGAAGAACAUCGGUGGCGAAAGCGCUCUACUGGACGGCAACUGACACUCAGGGACGAAAGCUAGGGGAGCGAAUGGGAUUAGAUACCCC